rnacentral:rRNA from 1 species
CCUACGGGAGGCAGCAGUGGGGAAUUUUGCGCAAUGGGCGAAAGCCUGACGCAGCAACGCCGCGUGAGUGAUGAAGGCUUUCGGGUCGUAAAGCUCUGUCAGAGGGGAAGAAACCCCCUGGGAAUAAUACUUCCAGGGCCUGACGGUACCCUCAAAGGAAGCACCGGCU